ACGGGGCGCAGCAGGCGCGAAACCUCUACAAUGCUGGAAACAGUGAUAGGGGAACUCCAAGUGACCACUUUGUGGUCUUUUAUGAAGUCUAAAAAGCUUUAGGAAUAAGGGCUGGGUAAGACCCGUGCCAGCCGCCGCGGUAAUACGGGCAGCCCGAGUGGUGUUCACGCAUAUUGGGCCUAAAGCGUUCGUAGCCGGUCCAUCAAGUCUUUGGUGAAAGCUUGCGACUUAAUCGUGAGAGUUGCCAGGGAAACUGUUGGACUUGGAGCCGGGAUGGGUCAGAAGUAUUUCUGGGGUAGGGGUAAAAUCCUGUAAUCCCAGAAGGACUAUCGGUGGCGAAGGCGUCUGGCUAGAACGGGCUCGACGGUGAGGAACGAAAGCUGGGGGAGCGACCCGGAUUAGAUACCCGGUUAGUCUCAGCCGUAAAUGAUGCUGGUUUGGUAUUGCCCAACUUACGAGGUUGUGCAGUGCCGUAGGGAAGCCGUAAACCAGCCGCCUGGAAGUACGUCGCAAGAC
rnacentral:rRNA from 1 species